rnacentral:rRNA from 1 species
UACGUAGGGUGCAAGCGUUAUCCGGAAUUAUUGGGCGUAAAGAGCUCGUAGGCGGUUUGUCGCGUCUGCUGUGAAAACUGGGGGCUCAACCCCCAGCCUGCAGUGGAUACGGGCAGACUAGAGUGCGGUAGGGGAGAUUGGAAUUCCUGGUGUAGCGGUGGAAUGCGCAGAUAUCAGGAGGAACACCAAUGGCGAAGGCAGAUCUCUGGGCCGUAACUGACGCUGAGGAGCGAAAGCAUGGGGAGCGAACAGG